rnacentral:misc_RNA from 1 species
UAUAUCUAAGUUAACAAAAUUAAUCAAAUUUAAAAUAAAAUUAAUAUUUUAUUACUAAUUAGAAUAUAUUUUAAAUUUAAUGUUCCCUUCCUUUUCCCUCCCACCUUCAAGCCCUUCUCUUUUUUUCUCUUUCCAUCACCAUAAUCACCUUAAUGUCUUUGCACAACCAGCGAUCACCAUGUAGUAAAGGUUUUCAUGUCUCGAUUAAACUAGUGCAAUUAAUCAGUCCGGUUCAAUUUAACUCUAAGAAUCUCGUUUUUUCAAUAAAUUAAAAUAAAUCAGUUGACAACCAAUUUGAAAUGAAAGAUGCCACUAGG